rnacentral:tRNA from 1 species
GUCUUGAUAGUAUAAUAAAUUACUUCGGUCUUGUAAACCGAUAAUGAAGAACUUUUCUUCUCAAGACAUCAAGAAGGAAGAAAU